AGGGUUUGAUUCUGGCUCAGGAUGAACGCUAGCUACAGGCUUAACACAUGCAAGUCGAGGGGCAGCAUCAUCAAAGCUUGCUUUGAUGGAUGGCGACCGGCGCACGGGUGAGUAACACGUAUCCAACCUUCCGUACACUCAGGGAUAGCCUUUCGAAAGAAAGAUUAAUACCUGAUGGUAUCUUAAGCACACAUGUAAUUAAGAUUAAAGAUUUAUCGGUGUACGAUGGGGAUGCGUUCCAUUAGGUAGUAGGCGGGGUAACGGCCCACCUAGCCUACGAUGGAUAGGGGUUCUGAGAGGAAGGUCCCCCACAUUGGAACUGAGACACGGUCCAA
rnacentral:rRNA from 1 species